rnacentral:rRNA from 1 species
AUGGCCCAGUAUGCGUCGUUGCAUCUGGUGGAUACACUCUCGCCUGGCCUGCCUUCUCCUCUGAAUUUGGGGACGGGAGGUCACCACCGCAUCGCCAUGGCUCCCGCCGCCGCCCGACUCCUCCCAGCCGCCAUGCCUAUUACCCCUCACCGUCCCCUGAGUUGGUGCUGGUCAGCCGCCGCACGCCGCCCUUCCCCUAGCAUGCGGCUUCUCCGCUCAAACUCGCGGCUCCUGGUCGUCGCCUCCGCGCAGUCCAACCUCUCCAAAGCUGUUCAAACAACAUGGAGGGUCGGUAAGGAAGCCGUGGAUGCUGGAAGUGCUCUUGUCCCAGGUUCAGUUCCACGCCCAAUUGCUAGGAUAGGCGUGACAUUUGUUGCCGUGUCUGUCGCCCUUUUUCUGCUCAAGUCCGUCAUUUCCACCGCAUUGUUUGUACUGGCGAUGAUGGGGCUUAUAUACUUCGCCUUCCUGGCGAUGAACCCAAAAGAGGGCUCCAGGAGUGUGGAUGAAGGAGACAGUCCUCCGUCGGACGACCCCGCCGAAGAAGCCCGGCGCAUAAUGGAGAAAUACAAGUGA